AAGCAUUCUCGUGUUGUAAAGGGGAAACUAAGGCUUUGAGAGGAGUGUGGCUUGCACAGUGUCACGUAGCUAGUGGCAGCACUGCCAGAAUUCAAACCCAAAAGUCUCUGGCUCCAAAGUCUGUGCUUGUAAAGCGAUACUAUUUUGUCUACCUCAUGGCUUUCAGGAUGGGAAAGAAAGCAAUAGGGUUUUAAAAUAUGUUCUCUCCCCUUCUUUUUUUUAAGGGUAUUUAUUACUAAAAGUGUUUUAAAACUGGACCACUGAGUAAAGUCACUCCAUCUCCUACUGUUCCUAGCACAGUGCUUGAUAAAUAUUUGCUGGCUCAUUCAGCUGCAGCUGCAGAGACCUACCUGUGUUUGCUGUGGCGACUGUCCGGGCCAAAGCUCAGGCAGCUGGAAGUAUCAGUGAAGCCAGAAGAUUCUAGCUGUUCAGGGUCUGUGAGGAGGAGUCAAGGUCUGGGGUUUGUGUCCUCUGGCAUAGCAAUGGCACUGCAAUGGGGGAGCCUGUUGCUGGGCUGGGCCAUCUCGCCACUGUCACCUGCCUGUUGAGGGGUGACGGUGGUUGUUGAGAGGCUGGAUCAGACCCCAGAGGUGACAUGGAUGUGGCAUAUUUGUUGGACUUACACAGCCUUGCAUUUUAUUUUCAUCUCUGUUCCUUCCUCCCAUGAGAUCUUGGGUGGUGUUUAUCAACCCUGAGUAAUCGUUUCUUUGUCUGCAAGAUGGAAUAAAAAGGCCUACCUCAUUGGGCUCGUGUGGGUGAGGAGAACUGAAGAGUCUGAGAGCGCGGCACGAGCCAGAGGCUACGGAAAACACUGCCCUCCUACACUCCACCUUGGAGAGACCCAGAAAAGAACAAGCUUCAUUUGUAAAAAAGGAAAACAACUCAGGCAAUGGGGGUGGCUUAAAGGCACUCUACAGUGUGCAGAUGCCUUCCACUUCUUCCAUCUGCCCUGUCUCUCCAAGAACCCCUAUGGCCCCGGUCUCAGAACAGAGCUGAGUGCAGAAAUGAAAAUCUAUGGCUCUGUGUUCCAAAACGAUGAAGAAUUUCAAGAUGGUGGCAGUGGUAAAAUCUUUCUCCAGGAAAAAUCUGUCCUUGGCCCAAUGUGUAAACACUUGCUGAGGAACUUGGAAUAACUUGCAGUGUCUUGCAGUAUUGUGAAACCAGCAACUUGUUCACAAUUCUUCUGAAUUUCUUGGGAAAUUUGAAGUGGAGUACCUGUACCAACAUGAAAUGACACGAAUUUAAGUGACGCUCAACAACGAAAAGCAAAAAGAACCAAAGAGGAAGCAACUGAAACAACAUCUGGAUGUAUUUAAAAAUAUACAAUGCCUCCAAAAUCAGGUGUCAUUAAUGAAAAUUCUGAAGAAAUGCCACCGGACAUAGCCAACGCACCUACGCUGUUGUUAUUCAUUUCCUGCUUUUCACAGAAAACAAUUUUGUUGCAUGGAAGAUCGUGAACUUCAAAGGGCAGAGGGGAAACUGUCCCUUGGCCUCUACCCCUCCAAGGCCCCACUUUUUUGUCAACACUCCUUGGACGCAGCAGAAGUAUGAACAUAAUAUGGUCCUGAAUGAGGCUGAGUCUUUGGGCGCAGAAGACCCGGGUUAAUAAAAAUAGGAAGGUAAGAAAAGAAAAGAAAAAUCAAGACACAUCAUAGGACUAAAUUCCUAUUAUUUAUCCACUCAGGAUUGACCACCCCUUUGGGCCAGAUAGUUGUACCCCCAUGUACCAGGUGGGCACAUGAAGACACAAGAAGUGCUGUGAUGGUUCAUUUUGCACGUCACCUUGCGUGGAGUAUGCCAACUCAUUGUUUGGUCAAACACUAGUCUGGACAUGGUGGUAAAGGUAUUUUUUAGAUGAGAUUAACACUUAAAUCAGUAAAGCAGGUUACCCACCAUACUACGGGUGGGCCCUGUCCAAUCAGUUGAAGGCAUUAAGAACAAAGAUUGAGGUUUCCUAAAGAAGAUGGAAUUCUCCUUGAGACUACAACAUAGAAACCCUAUCUGAGUUUCCAGCCUGUUGCCCUGUGGAAUUCAAACUCAGGACUCCGGUCUAUGACAUUAACCCUCACUUAACUUUUCAGCCUGCCAGCCUGCCCUAUGGAUUUCGGACUUGCCAGCCACACAAUUCCUUAAAAUAAAUCUCUCCGUCUCUGUCUGUUUCUCUCUGUCUAUAUACACACCUGCAUGCAUAUAUACAUAUAUAUAUGUAUGCAUCUAUAUAUUUAUAUCUAAUCUCGUAUUGCUUAUUGGUUCUGUUUCUCUGUAGAACUCUGCCUAAUACAGCUGAAGAUGUAUUCUCUUUAGAAAGCUUGCAAUUACUGGGGAACAAUCAGUACAGAAGUCGACAAUUACAGAAAGGGGACUAGGGUAAUAUGGUGGCCAAUGUCCUUGUGAGUAGUGGUGACAGAGGGCAACAAGUUAGAGACUGCCAAGGGAAAGUCAAGAGCAAGGGAAACAGAGAUGAAGUAGGUUCAGCCAGGCCCCACCACCUACCCAGACUAAACCUGGAGAGUCUCUU
rnacentral:lncRNA from 1 species